GACGAACGCUGGCGGCGUGCUUAACACAUGCCAGUCGAACGGAAAGGCCCUGCCUUUGUGGGGUGCUCGAGUGGCGAACGGGUGAGUAACACGUGAGUAACCUGCCCUUGACUUUGGGAUAACUUCAGGAAACUGGGGCUAAUACCGGAUAGGAGCUCCUGCUGCAUGGUGGGGGUUGGAAAGUUUCGGCGGUUGGGGAUGGACUCGCGGCUUAUCAGCUUGUUGGUGGGGUAGUGGCUUACCAAGGCUUUGACGGGUAGCCGGCCUGAGAGGGUGACCGGCCACAUUGGGACUGAGAUACGGCCCAGACUCCUACGGGAGGCAGCAGUGGGGAAUAUUGCACAAUGGGCGGAAGCCUGAUGCAGCAACGCCGCGUGCGGGAUGACGGCCUUCGGGUUGUAAACCGCUUUCGCCUGUGACGAAGCGUGAGUGACGGUACUGGGUAAAGAAGCACCGGCUAACUACGUG
rnacentral:rRNA from 1 species